rnacentral:rRNA from 1 species
UGCAGCCUGCAACUCGGCUGCAUGAAGCUGGAAUCGCUAGUAAUCGCGGAUCAGAAUGCCGCGGUGAAUACGUUCCCGGGUCUUGUACACACCGCCCGUCACACCAUGGGAGUCGGGAACGCCCGAAGCCGGUGGCCGAACCCGAGAGGGGAGGAGCCGUCGAAGGCGGGCCUGGUAACUGGGGUGAAGUCGUAACAAGGUACC